AACGAACGCUGGCGGCAGGCCUAAUACAUGCAAGUCGAGCGAGAAGACGUAGCAAUACGUUUGUAAAGCGGCGAACGGGUGAGGAAUACAUGGGUAACCUACCCUCGAGUGGGGAAUAACUAGCCGAAAGGUUAGCUAAUACCGCGUACGCUCCUUGGACUUCGGUUCAGGGAGGAAAGCGAUACCGUGGGUAUCGCGCUCUUGGAUGGGCUCAUGUCCUAUCAGCUUGUUGGNGAGGUAACGGCUCACCAAGGCUUCGACGGGUAGCUGGUCUGAGAGGACGAUCAGCCACACUGGCACUGCGACACGGGCCAGACUCCUACGGGAGGCAGCAGUAAGGAAUAUUGCGCAAUGGGCGAAAGCCUGACGCAGCGACGCCGCGUGGGGGAUGAAGGUCUUCGCUA
rnacentral:rRNA from 1 species